rnacentral:rRNA from 1 species
CAGGGGAGCGAAAGGGAUUAGAUACCCCUGUAGUCCUGGCCGUAAACGAUGAACACUAGGCGUCGGGGGAAUCGACCCCCUCGGUGUCGUAGCCAACGCGUUAAGUGUUCCGCCUGGGGAGUACGCACGCAAGUGUGAAACUCAAAGGAAUUGACGGGGGCCCGCACAAGCGGUGGAGUAUGUGGUUUAAUUCGAUGCAACGCGAAGAACCUUACCAGGGUUUGACAUCCUGCGAAUCCCUUGGAAACGAGGGAGUGCCUUCGGGAACGCAGUGACAGGUGGUGCAUGGCUGUCGUCAGCUCGUGUCGUGAGAUGUUGGGUUAAGUCCCGCAACGAGCGCAACCCACGUCUUUAGUUGCCAGCAUUUAGUUGGGCACUCUAGAGAGACCGCCGGUGAUAAACCGGAGGAAGGUGUGGAUGACGUCAAGUCAUCAUGCCCCUUACAUCCUGGGCUACACACGUACUACAAUGCUACGGACAAAGGGCAGCGAACUCGCGAGGGCAAGCAAAUCCCAUAAACCGUGGCUCAGUUCAGAUCGUAGGCUGCAACUCGCCUACGUGAAGGAGGAAUCGCUAGUAAUCGCAGGUCAGCAUACUGCGGUGAAUACGUUCCCGGGCCUUGUACACACCGCCCGUCACACCAUGGAAGUUAGCCACGCCCGAAGUCGUUACUCCAACCCUUGUGGAGGAGGACGCCGAAGGUGGGGCUGAUGACUGGGGUG